AUUGAACGCUGGCGGCAGGCCUAACACAUGCAAGUCGAACGCGCGGCGGACGGGGGAGUAAUGUAUGGGGACUGCCCCAUAGGGGGGGUUAACUCCUGUAAACGGUGUCUCAUAUCCCAUACUGUCGCAUAAUCCAUAUGGGAUUAUCUAGUAGGUAAGGUAAUGGCUUACCUAGGCGACGAUCCCUAGCUGGUCUGAGAGGAUGAUCAGCCACACUGGGACUGAGACACGGCCCAGACGCCUACGGAGGCAGCAGUGGGGAAUAUUGCACAAUGGGCGCAAGCCUGAUGCAGCCAUGCCGCGUGUAUGAAGAAGGCCCUCGGGUUGUAAAGUACUUUCAGUCGGGAGGCGUUACCGACAGAAGAAGCACCGGCUAACUCCGUGCCAGCAGCCGCGGUAAUAC
rnacentral:rRNA from 1 species